CCGGGUCUGCGCCGGGAAGGCCCAAGAUUCCAUCGCGCGAGGCCCAGCCGCCCGACCGGCGACGAUCCCCCGGCAGCCCGGACUGCAGUCUCCGGGAGGUGCCCCUGGAGCUCCGAGAACUCGCCCUGCGUCUGGCGGUCCUGUGCCCCAUCAGCCCCAACCCGCCUCGCCUACCACGGACACCUGUUACCUCAAAGAGGACUUCACCGCCCGCGCUCCCCACAUCCCCUGCCAGGCCCAGGAGCGCCGUCCGUGGCGCUGUCGAAGUGAUGGGCAGCCGGCCUCGCAGCCCCAGCGCCUGCCCUGCUCCCUGGUGGGGACCACAGUUAGGAGGACCCGACCCUGCCAAGCGCCGCUGAUUGGAGGAGCCCGCGGCCCCCCAACCCCUCGUGGCGUGCACCCUGGAAGACCCGGCGGGGGCCCCGGCCGCGGACGCGCUCACCUUCGUGGUGGUUCUGGCCGCGGGCUGCGCACUGAAGGUUUCCCAGGACCACGUCGACUUGAUGCUGAAGCCCGCGCCCACGUCGAUCAUGCGAGUGUCUCUCGGUGGACACACCCUCUUCCUGAUCCCCCGAGGUCCUCCUGAGCUUCGUCUACGAACGCUCAGGAGCGCAGGGCGACUCAGGAGCGCAGGAAGUGGACGUUUUCCUGGGCGCUCUCAGGGAGGACGUCGUCGUCUAGCAGGAAUUCUGCGCAUCUGUCCCUGAGGUCGCCGCCCAGGAGGAGGUGUACGAGGAGGACGCGGACUCCGAGUUCCAGGAGCUCUGGAUGGACUCCCCAGCCGGCUCAGCCGCUGGGCUCUACCCCUCCGCUAGAAGUAUAUUCGGCCCCUACCCGGAGGGCCCCAUCCCAGAGCCCUGUGCUCUGGCCCCCAACCCCAGUUCAGAGAGACGCUCUCCACGCCCCAUCUGCGACCAGGAAUUCCACUUUCUGGAGCCUGUUCCCAGCUCACCCCUCCAACCUCUACCUCCCUCUUCGAGUCCAGGUCCCCACACGCGCCGGGAGCUCCCAGAGCGCCCUCCGUGCAAGGCCCGGAGACGACUGUUUCAGGAAUGAACUGCCUCCCACAAUCCCUUGCCAUCGGCUGCGGGUUCUGGUGGAUCCUCCAAGACUCACUGUGAGGGCUUGCCACCGCUUGGAAAUGCAGCAUCUCAUUCGUUGGCAGUGAGCAGUUGCAUUACUGUUGUUUGAGUGGGUUGGUUGGUUGGCUGGCUAAUUGGUUGGCUUUUUAGCAGAAUUACUUGGUAAGUGGCAGGCAAGGACAUCAAAAAAGAAAAGUAGAUUCUGCCAAGCACCCUUACCAAGGACAGUAGACCACACAUAGCCAGUCACGGAUUUUCAGAUCCCUUAUCUUUGCUGUAGGAGAUGUUACUUCUGCCUUUGUCGCCUUCAGCCAAUUCUAUCCUCCGUUUCACCCUACUCUGGCUUAAAGCUCCCUUCACUUUUCUUUCAAAUUCCCCCCUUUUUUUAAUCACCUCCCCAGACACCUGUCAGUUCUCUCCAAUCCAGAUCAUUGUCUUCCCUUGUUUUUGCAACUGCGAAUUUACCUAUAUGGUUUCUCCCAACAUCCUCUGAGGUGCUGCUGACCACUGAUUUUAUUUUCCACUUGCUUUCCUUAACACCUUUUCCUGAACCUAGACAAUCAAGAUAAAUGUGUAUUAGAUUAGAUAGUUAACAAACAACAUUCCAAUGUAAUGCACUAGACCUUUUGGAAAUGUUUCUACAAAUAAGAAUUUAAAAUUUAGUGAAAGCAGUAUUUAAUGAGGGAAUGUAGGGAGGAAGUCGUGACACUUUCAUUCCAGCGGCAGCUUGUACAAUGACAUAGUCUACGUACUUUAGCCAAUGGAUAUUGCUGAAUUUCAGGGCAGUCUGAGCUUCACCUUGAUUUCCUCUCAGGGGGACUCAUUCAACUUGACAGCAUGGACAUUUGGUCUAAUUUAUUUUUGACAGUUUUUUCAUGUUCUUGGGCCCAUCACCCUGAAUUGGCAGUCGUUUUUUCUUUGCACUAUUUCCUUAAUGUCUUUUUUACUAUAAAGAAGAAAAAAUAUUACAGAUAAUGUUGUCAUAUCCUUUGAUCCCCACUCUUCUCCUCCAUUCCCAGGAGAUUCACAUCGUGACACGAAGUUGGUGGAUAUCAUUCUAGUUAAUAUAUGAAUGCUACAUAUACAUGUGUAUAGAUAUAAAUAAGCAAUGUUUAUGUUGUUUUCUGGACAAUUAAAUUUACAUAACUACCUCA